rnacentral:rRNA from 1 species
AGCAGCCGCGGUAAUUCCAGCUCCAAUAGCGUAUAUUAAAGUUGUUGCAGUUAAAAAGCUCGUAGUUGAAUUUCGGGGUUAGCAGGUCGGUCGUGCCAUCGGUAUGAACUGGUCUCGCUGAUCCCUCCCUCUUGACGAACUGCGAUGCCAUUAAUUUGGUGUCGCAGGGAAUCAGGACUGUUACUUUGAAAAAAGUUAGAGUGUUUAAAGCAGGCUCACGCUUGAAUACAUUAGCAUGGAAUAAUGAAGUAGGACGUUUGAUCCUAUUUUGUUGGCUUCUAGGAUUGACGUAAUGAUUAAUAGGGAUAGUUGGGGGCAUUAGUAUUCAAUUGUCAGAGGUGAAAUUCUUGGAUUUAUUGAAGACUAACUACUGCGAAAGCAUUUACCAAGGAUGUUUUCAUUAAUCAAGAACGAAAGUUAGGGGAUCGAAGACGAUCAGAUACCGUCGUAGUCUUAACCAUAAACUAUGCCGACUAGGGAUCGGAUGAUGUUAAUUUUUUAAUGACUCAUUCGGCGCCUU